rnacentral:rRNA from 1 species
UACGAAGGGGGCUAGCGUUGCUCGGAAUCACUGGGCGUAAAGGGUGCGUAGGCGGGUAUUUAAGUCGGGUGUGAAAGCCCCGGGCUCAACCUGGGAAUUGCAUUCGAUACUGGAUAGCUAGAGUUCGGCAGAGGGAAGCGGAAUUUCCGGUGUAGCGGUGAAAUGCGUAGAUAUCGGAAGGAACAUCAGUGGCGAAAGCGGCUUCCUGGACCAGAACUGACGAUCAGGCACGAAAGCGUGGGGAGCAAACAGG